UACGGAGGGGACUAGCGUUGUUCGGAAUUACUGGGCGUAAAGCGCACGUAGGCGGAUUUGUAAGUCAGGGGUGAAAUCCCGGGGCUCAACCUCGGAACUGCCUUUGAUACUGCAAAUCUCGAGUCCGGAAGAGGUGAGUGGAAUUCCUAGUGUAGAGGUGAAAUUCGUAGAUAUUAGGAAGAACACCAGUGGCGAAGGCGGCUCACUGGUCCGGUACUGACGCUGAGGUGCGGAAAGCGUGGGGAGCAAACAGGG
rnacentral:rRNA from 1 species